UACGUAGGGUGCGAGCGUUGUCCGGAAUUAUUGGGCGUAAAGGGCUCGUAGGCGGUUUGUCGCGUCGGGAGUGAAAUCCACUGGCUUAACUGGUGGCUUGCUUUCGAUACGGGCAGACUGGAGGUAUGCAGGGGAGAACGGAAUUCCUGGUGUAGCGGUAAAAUGCGCAGAUAUCAGGAGGAACACCGGUGGCGAAGGCGGUUCUCUGGGCAUGUCCUGACGCUGAGGAGCGAAAGUGUGGGGAGCGAACAGG
rnacentral:rRNA from 1 species